rnacentral:misc_RNA from 1 species
AACGGUCUAUACCUGCGGUACCUGCGGAAGGAUCAUUACCGAGUUAUCAACUCCCAAACCCCUGUGAACAUACCCGAACGUUGCCUCGGCGGGACCGCCCCGGCGCCCCUAGCGGCCCGGAACCAGGCGCCCGCCGGAGGACCCAAACUCUUGCUUUAAACAGUGGCAUACUCUCUGAGUCUCACAAACAAAAGAUAAAUCAAAACUUUCAACAAUGGAUCUCUAGAUCGGAAGAGCACA